rnacentral:lncRNA from 1 species
UAAUAUUAGAAAAUAAUGAAUGAAAGUAGUAGUUCCUCUGUGAAGGACUCUUUAACAUAAGGAGUUACAUUUUUAUUUUAUUCAAAAUACAGGACUGUUUUUAAAGACCUAAAAGCAUAUGAAAUAUAUAUAUUUGGUGAUUUAGUUUGCAUAAAUAGCUUUUAAUAAGGUUAUUUAUUUGCAAAUAUUUGAAUAUGUAGGGGGCAUCUUGAUGUAUAUUAGAUUUUUUUAAUAUAUACAUUUACAGUUAUACUGUCAAAUCAAAUUCUAAAGUAUUUCCAAAGAGCUGAAGAGGUUUGUAGCCCCAUAGGAGGAACGACAAUAUGAAGUAACCAGUACCCCCAGAGCUCCCAGGGACUAAACCACCAACCAAAGAGUACACAUGGUAGGACUCAUGGCUCCAGCUGCAUAUGUAGCAGAGGAUGGCCUAGUUGGUCAUCAGUGGGAGGAGAGGCCCUUGGUCCUGUGAAGGUUCUGUUCCCCAGUAUAGGGGAGUGCCAGGGCCAGGAAGCAGGAGUGGGUGGGUUGGUGAGCAGGGGGAGAGGGGAGGGAAUAGGGGAUUUUCAGAGGGGAAACUAGGAAAGGAGAAAACAUUUGAAAUGUAAAUAAAGAAAAUAUCUAAUAAAAAAGAAAAUAAAUAAAAUAUUUCCAGGAAAUAUUUACAUAUCUAACCCAGUUCAAUAUGAAUGUUAAAGCCUUUUUACUUGUCUUUGUUACCACCAUCCUAAAACAAACUACUUUGAAGAUAAUUGCUCUUAAGUUCAUGUGUCAUCAUUAGGGUUUCCACUGCUGUGACACAAUACUAUGACCAAAAGCAGCUUGACAAAAAAAGGGUUUGUUUCAUCUUAUUGUUAUUAGUCACCCUCCAUUACUAAAUGAAAUCAGGGAGGAAUUUAGAUGAUUUGCUAGGGAAGCUGUAAGAAACAGACAUUUUGUAAGUAUGGGUAAGAAAUCAUUGAGCUAGUGAGAUGGCUCAGUGGGUAAGAGCACCUGACUGCUCUUCCGAAGGUCCAGAGUUCAAAUCCCAGCAACCACAUGGUGGCUCACAACCAUCUGUAACGAGAUCUGACUCCUUCUUCUGGAGUAUCUGAAGAUAGCUACAGUGUACUUACAUAUAAUAAAUAAAUAAAUCUUUUUUAAAAAAAGAAAGAAAUCAUUGUAAAAUAAUAUUGGUUAACAAAUAUUCCUAGCUAUUAUGAAGAUCAGUUGAUACAAAAUUUCAUUUAGAUAGCUAUUAUAUCCUGAAUUAUUAAAUAGUUAAAAUAUCUAUAAAUAUGCAUAAAUUAAGUAGGUUAAAAGGAAAAGAACUAUAUGAUUCAUGUAGGAAUUGGUGUUUUCCUUCUGGUCACUCAUGACUGUAUUUGAAUAUUUUUUCAGCUGAUUCUAUUGGUGACCCAUUCUUCCCUCGGACUACACAAAUUUUAUUGGAGUAUCAGCUAGGAAGAUGGGUACCACGCCUUCGCGGACCACGAGAUUUAUAUGGUGUCUCUUCUUCUGGUCCACUGAGCCCAACACGGUGGCCAUACCACUGUGAGGUCAUUGAUGAAAAAGUCCAGCAUAUUGGUAUGUUUUUAGAAGUUUUGGGGAUUCAGACAUUAGCAAACUUAUCAAUCUUGAUGUUAAUGAGGACACUAAUGAUGUAACAACUGCAUUCCAGAAGUAUAAUAUAAGCCACAUGUAUAAAUAAAAAUUUCCUACUAG